CCCGACCUCCUCUUCCCACCGCCCUCCCUCCGCAGGCUCCCUCUCGCAAUUCCUGAUGGAGAAGUUGACGGCGGCGCGGACGCCAUCUCCACAUCGGGACCUACAUCAGCGCCGCCGCUCGCAGUUCCUCCAUCCAGAUCGGCGCCCCAGCUCACAGUUCCUCAAUUGACAUCGGCGCGCUCGCUCGCAGUUCCUGAUGGAGUGGCCGACGGUGCCGCCGCCGCCAUCUCCACAUCUGGACCUACAAAGGAUCUCUGCCAUCGGGACAUACAAAGGACCUCCAAGAAGUAUCUCUGCCAUCUUCAGAAAUCACUGCAGCUGCAAAUCAAGGUUUCAGUGCAAACUUAACAACUCCCUUGGAUGUGAUCAAGACAAGACUGCAAGGUGAAGGAUCAACAACUAGGUACAUGGCAAAUCUGAUCUGAGCGAAAAGAGUUCUCCAGCGCAGCUCUUUGGUUUCUUGAGUUGGUUCAUAGCUUUUUUUUUAGAGAUUGAAGGUGCUUCAUGUUAGAAUUAUUCUUGUGCUUAGUCUCAUACAUUGGUUGAUAAUGCUGUAAUAAUUAGCUAAAUAUCUGUGACCUGAACACAUUUGCCCCCUUGUCUUGAAGUGAUAACCAUAUCACUACUGCAGAUUGGGUGCUUCAGUACUGUUGCUGAUCGAUGGAAAUCUGAUACUGGAAGUUGUAA